CUUCAACAUGACACUUAGGCCUUGGUUUUAAACAUGGGGUUACUUGUCUAACAAAAAGAAAUUAUUUUUAAGUUUUUAUCAACAUAAAGUGUUAUAAAGGUAUAAACUGAAGAUAAAAGAAAAAAUAUUUUAUGCAGUCCUUUCAUCAAAAUAUAUCAGUGUCUUUCCUAUUUUUGGGUUUCUGGGCCUGGCCAGUUCACUAAGAGUUGACAUCACGUGGACAUCCAAUUUAUUCCCUGUAAUCUAGUGAAGAAGUAAAACUGGUUAAGAUCUCAUACUCUCCCAUGGUCAGAAGGGAGCUGUUCCAGGUCAGGGAAAGCAGGCCAGCCUCUCAGAGGUUAAAUGAAAAGGUCCAAGCUUCUGCUCUGAUCCACCUGCUUCUCCCUUUGGGCUGAGGUUUGGGGCCAUCAGAACAGUUGCAUUCAUGGCAGCAGCAGGAUGACCCGGGAGGACAGGAAGUACUGCUCCCUCAAGAGCCACCUGAUUUCUCUCCUCCUGGGGACCAGAGGGUCUUGCUCAGAACCUUCCACUCUCCACAUGACGAAAAAUAUAACCUUUCAGUGUCUCUUGGAGAAAAGCACAGCUGCACCACAGCAGGAAGAGAAGCAGAGGAAAGGAAAACAAUUGUCACCUGUUGAAAUGCAUUUCCAGAUCCAGGAUGGACCCUCUACACUCUGGGGUGGUGGCCAUGCGGAGACCAGGCUGGAGCAGCCUGCUGUAGUCGUGGCACGUGAGAAAAGCUCAGCCUCCCUGCUGUGCACAGCCAAUGUCAAGGCCAGCUAUAUCCACUGGUACCGCUACCAGGAAGGAAAAGGGCUCCAGAGGCUCCUCCACCUGGCCAUGUUCCAAUCAAAUGUGCAGUGGGAUUCGGUCCUGGAAGCAGACAAAGUCACCGCCAUAGAGACCAAGGAUGGCUACAGCUGUACCCUGUUGGUGCUGAAGCUGGAGAAGAGCGAUGAGGGCAUGUACUACUGUGCUGCCUGGAGAGCACACAGCCACUCACUCUGCCCUGGUCCCCCAUGCAAAAAGGUCACUGACUCCGGGCCCUUCAGGCCUGGCACCUUCCACAGCGUUUGGGUUUCUGGAGUUGUUCUGGGGUCAGCCCUCAGCAACCAGACUCUGGCGGGCACCCCCUCAGCAGGUAGAGCCCUGGAGGCUAAGGAGCCCCUGGUGCUCAGUGUCGCUCAGACCCAGGGAGCUGUCCAGCCUGGAGGGACUUUUCUACAGAUUGUCAGGAGCAAAUACUUCUGAAGUAUUUGGAACAGAAACUGUGCUGCUCAGUGUAGUAGCCACUAGCCACUAGCCACAGGUGGAUACUCUGCACUUGAAAUGUAGCUUUAUGCUAGUCCAAGCUGAAAUGGCUGCUUAUGUAACAUACAAACCAUUAUUUUGAACAUUACAAUUUGAAAGUUAAAUAUCUCAUUAAUAAUCUCUAUAUUGAUUGCAUGCUUGAAAUAACUUCAGAUAUCUUGGAUUACUAACUAAAAAUGAUCCUAAAGUGAAUUUUACUUCUUUUUUUUAUUUUUUUAAGGUAGCAGCUGUAGCUAUACAAUGUUUUGUUGUUGUUGUUGUUGUUGUUGUUGUUUACAAUACAGUACUAGCAACUUUAAUACUAACAGAAGGUUUGGCUUUUACAAAUCUAAAACAAGAAAAACAGAACCAACCACUCCUAAAGUUACUGAUACCUUGUCCUUGUCUAAUGUUGCUCUUAAAAAUGAAGUUAAAAUAUACGUAUGAGUUAAUGAUGAGUUAAUAUCUGCAGUGCUUCUAAACUUAAUAGGGGCAUGCCACUGGUAUAAACAUUACAAAUUUGAAGGUUGUUAUAUCCUAGGGUAAUCAUGAUUUGUUAUGUUUGUCCUAAAGGUACUUUUAUUAAAU
rnacentral:lncRNA from 12 species